GAUGAACGCUGGCGGCGUGCCUAAUACAUGCAAGUCGAGCGAACAGACGAGGAGCUUGCUCCUCUGACGUUAGCGGCGGACGUGUGAGUAACACGUGUAUAACCUACCUAUAAGACUGGGAUAACUUCGGGAAACCGGAGCUAAUACCGUAUAAUAUAUUGAACCGCAUGGUUCAAUAGUGAAAUACGGUUUUGCUGUCACUUAUAGAUGGAUCCGCGCCGCAUUAGCUAGUUGGUAAGGUAACGGCUUACCAAGGCAACGAUGCGUAGCCGACCUGAGAGGGUGAUCGGCCACACUGGAACUGAGACACGGUCCAGACUCCUACGGGAGGCAGCAGUAGGGAAUCUUGCGCAAUGGGCGAAAGCCUGACGGAGCAACGCCGCGUGAGUGAUGAAGGUCUUCGGAUCGUAAAACUCUGUUAUUCGGGAAGAACAAAUGUGUACGUAACUAUGCACGUCUUGACGGUACCUAAUCAGAAAGCCACGGCUAACUACGUG
rnacentral:rRNA from 1 species